rnacentral:lncRNA from 1 species
GAUUAUUGAUAGGUUGUGAUAAAGAGAUAAAACCUAAGUUGAGAUUUGUAAUCAGCGAAUCAGGCAAGUAUCCUACCUUUGCAUUUUCUUUAUGCAAUGGACAUGAGUAAGAAGUUUCAGAAUUAUUCUAUUCCUGUACAGAUUAUGUACGCUUUGAUUAUCAACAUGUUAGCUCAGAUAUAUAUUCUGUUAAGUUGAUUUCUAAAUGGUUAUACAAGUGUCCCCACUUGGAUAAUCAUGGCAUUUAUUCACAUGUUGAUAUACCUUUGUCAAUUACCCGUAUAUAUAUAUGUUGAAUUACAUAUUAUUGUUGAGCAAGAUUAAAAACCUUCGGGUUUGGAACCAGGCAUGUAUGAACAUCCCUAUAUGGGAAGAUUUUUGCGCAAGGCGGAUAGAGUGAGCGAUGAAUUUCGUUCAAGUUAUGUAGUAUUGAUCAAUACAGGGUACAACGGGGCUGAUCACCCUCCGUGCCCGUAAGUUAUGACGGUUUGAGGAUAGAAUUCCGCUAAACCUUUUCGAAAAUGAAAAGAAUGUUCAUAGUAUGUUUCUUAAACCCUAUUCAAGGGUAGAGCCAGAGCCAAAUUUAAAGAAUUUGAAAGAGAGUUGUUAUGUGAAUUUUUUAUCAGUACAGAUUACUUCACAACUUUCGAUUCGUUGUAGAAGUGUUAUGUAAAGAGAAUACUUAUAUUCUUUCAGCUUAUAUAUAUAAUUGCUAUUACUUGCUGGGCACUCAAAUGCUCAUCCUUGCUUAAAUUAAAUGUUUUCAGUUAUGUAUGAGCAACCUGAAGGCUCAGGCACGAACAAGGGGAAAGGAAAGCUGUUCGAAUGAGUUUAUAUUAUGAGUUAAUGGUUAUAGUUAGUAAGACAAUGGAAUCUAUUGUCAGGUAUUGUAAGGAAUGUAUUUGAAGGUCACGUACCUGGGGAAGUAAACUUUGAUGUAUGUAAAUUAAGUUCGAAUGUAUUAUUAUUUAGUAUUAUUCAGCUUAAAGAAAUGGUAUCGUGGAGAACCGAGUUCGGGUUUCAAGUACCUGGAUUUGGGGUCGCCACAGAUGCCUUCGAAGAGAUUUAUUAUGUGUUAAAAUUGAUUUUACAUCAGUUAGCAUUGUUGUUGAGCACACACGCACUAUAUUAGUGAUAAC